GAUUGCCCUCUCUCUCUCUCUCUCUCUCUCUCUCUCUCUCUCUCUCUCUCUCUCUCUCUCUCUCUCUCUCUCUCUGAUAUCUGGUUGUGAAAGGAGGUGAGCUGACUCUUCCGCUGGCGCGUCUUCCACCGCAGCCUGGCUCUAUACUUCUCCCUCAUCAGACCUCAAAUUCAUACUCAAAAGGACUCGGAUUAUGGGAAAUCUCAUCUGCUCCAGAGGAAAAAAAGAACAAUCUAAUGAAGGCGUACAGGCGUCACCUAAAGAGGAUGUUCUCUAUGCCACCAUUGACCAUGGGGAAAAGCAGGCACCAAGGAUGUUAAGAGAUUCUGUCAGUGACUGUGACUAUGCCAUAGUACAAAUGCCCAGUAACACACCUUGCAAAUCUGAGAGCAACGAUGACGGGGCUGAUGACUAUGUGCUCAUGAGCUGAGGUUAAAGACUCUGAAGCUUUAACUUAUGUGAAUAUUAGUUUUUUUUUAAGGACUGCUACUUAAAUGUAAACAUGCACAAAAACACAUUUGUUUUUAUACCUUGUCAUGAUGUGGGGUCAGGCACGUGUCCUCUAUGUAUUAUACACUGUAUAUUUAAUUACCUAUAUAUAAUAAGAAUGUCCUAAUCCUAACCUUAACCUCAGUAUAAGAAAAAAAUUGCAAAGAACUUGUUUGCUCAUUUAAUUAAUAAUAAAUAAAGCAUGUAACUGUACAUAAACUAAUUACACAAACAAAUACACCUGCCAUUGAGUCUAUUGUGGAUCUAAUGUACCUUCAGAUCAGGUAAACUUAAUAUCACCACUUCACACUGCUGUCAGAGAGGUAACUGAAUGAAUGUUUGUAUUUUUGUAUUUUUAUUUAAGAAGUCAUCUUAACCCCUUAAAGAAUAUGUUCACCAAUUAAUGUGCCCAAAAUGUAAUAAUUGAGAUGUUUUCAUUUAACAAAUGCAAGUAAUAGUAAAAAUAAUCAACACACAUAUUUACUAAACCACUUAUGCUUUAGGGUUACCUACAUUUAGAUUCAUCCAUUCAUAAACGCUUACUCCACAUCUCAGUGGAAGAUUUGAAUGGAGAUUUGAGUAGAGCAUGAUUUGUUUAUUUAUUUAUUUUCCUCUUGGAAAUAAAGUCAUUUUUUUCAAUAUUGAAUCAGGGGGAAAAAAUUCUACUUAACCACUCAAAAAUGAGUAACAUUUUAUCUGGAGUGGUCCUUUAUAGAUGAUUAAUAAACCUUUGACAGAUUAUCAGUAACACAUCAACAACAUAUCAGUAGUGAAGCAUCUGAAUACACUGAAGUAAAUAAAUAUCUCGUAGAUGUUCUGUUGAUGACUGGCGGCCUGUCCAGGGUGUGUCCUGCCUCCCACCCAAUGACCGCUGGGAUAAGCUCCAGCACACCCCCCGCUACCCUGGGGGAGCAGUGGCUUAGAAAUGUUCUGUUGAGGCAUUACUUACAUUACGUAGAUGUAUUGUUCAUAUGUUACUUCCAUUACACGAAAACCUAACUUUACUGACUUUACCCAACACCUCAUCCUAAUCCUGGCCCUAAUACUAACCCUAACCUUAACCUCAACCUAGAACCUAAUCCUCGGCCUCACCCUGGCCUUAAUCCUAACCCUGACCUUUACCUCAACCCAGAAUCUAAUCCUAACCAUCACCCUGGCCUUCAUCCUAACCCUAACCUUAACCCUCAUCCAACACCUAAUGCUUACCCUCACCCUAGCCCUGAUUCCAAUCCUAACUUUAACCUCAAUACUGAACCUAAUCCUCACCCUCAUACAGUCUGAAAUGAAUCAAUCUCAGGGAUAACAUCUCAUAUUUCACCAGGUCUCUUUACUGAAAGUGUCUUAUAUGAGUAACAGGGUUGAGUUUCACAGCACAGAAUGUGGUUUUCUACAGAAUGUGUUUAACAGGCAUUCAUGUGUUUCACAAGGGAACAUGAAUGGCAUUAUAAUCAUUUUGUAAGGGGGAGCGAGGAGGCGGACGCAUACGCGGAGAUAAGCGAGAUUUAUUACGGGCAAAUCCAGGGUCGUAGUCAGAACAGUCCAGGGUCAAUGAGCCGACACGGACAGAUCGAGGGUAAGACAUGACGAAAACAACCAGAACCAACACAAACAAAGACCAGGUACAACGAUACAAUGAUACAAAGAUACAAAAGGUACAAAGACUGGCAAACGGAAGGGGCAAACACAGGGCUUAAAUACACGGAACAAUGAGGGACAGGUGAUAACAAUCAGGGGCGGAGUUACAAAACCAAAACAUGAGCACAUGGACAGGACUGGGAGGAGCCAACCGUGACACAUUUACUUACAAUUUAUUAUUUGAUUUCAUCAAUUAUUUAUUUCCAGUCUAUAAUUUGGGUUACAGCAUAUUGGUUUUAAAGUGACCACUUCAUUUGAUGUCAGAGUAUCCCUGAAAAUAAAGAAAAAACAAUGAGAAAACUUUCUUUUUGUCUUCUGAUGAUCUUCAGGUAAUAAACAA
ensembl:lncRNA